UGGGGAAUCUUGCGCAAUGGGCGAAAGCCUGACGCAGCAACGCCGCGUGAGUGAUGAAGGCCCUCGGGUCGUAAAGCUCUGUCAGAAGGGAAGAAUAAAUGACGGUACCUUCAAAGGAAGCACCGGCUAACUCCGUGCCAGCAGCCGCGGUAAUACGGAGGGUGCAAGCGUUACUCGGAAUCAUUGGGCGUAAAGCGCACGUAGGCGGUCUUUCAAGUCCGGCGUGAAAUCCUGGGGCUCAACCUCAGAUGGCCGUUGGAAACUGAGAGACUUGAGAGUGGAAGGGGUCAGUGGAAUUCCUGGUGUAGGAGUGAAAUCCGUAGAGAUCAGGAGGAACACCGGUGGCGAAGGCGACUGACUGGGCCAUUUCUGACGCUAAUGUGCAAAAGCGUGGGGAGCGAAACAGGAUUAGAUACCCUGGUA
rnacentral:rRNA from 1 species